GAGGAGGGACGGGGUUGAGAACAAAGAUGAUAAAUGGAGGAUUACACUAAAAAUAAAGAUAAUAGAUGGAAGAUAGAAAAACAAGGAAUAUAAAAUGGAGGAAUGGAAGAUGAGAGUUGAAAACAUAGAUUUCACAUAGAAAAAAUGGAAAGUAGGGACAUGGAACAAAGAAAAAGAGAGAAUUUGUGAAGGAAGACAAGGACUGGAAACAAGAUUAAGGAGGUUACAAUACUUGAAAAUGGCGGAAAUAAGAAUUAGCAAUUGGGAGGUGUAAUAGUGGUUUAGAAAGGUAGAUUGAUUUAGUAAAAACCUAAAAUAAU
rnacentral:lncRNA from 1 species